UAAGAUUGCACUAUACAUCAUAUAACGAAAUGUUAAAGCAUUGAUAUAUACAUAAAAAAAUAUUCUUCACAAAUUUUAUGUGUUGUCGUUAUACCAUUUACUUUUAUAUUUUAUGAAUAAAAAAAUCACUUUUAUGAGUUUACUUUACUAACUUUUCCCGUAUAUGAGGGUUGAGUUUGCUCCUGUGAUCUCAGAUCUGCGAAGUUUGCACAUGUCUGAGCAAGUAACAAUUCCAGAGUUGCUUAUAUUUUACCAGUGGCAUGUCUGUGUGUACUGCUCCGAUUGCAUAUUGAGGCACAAGUGGCAAGCUCUUAUUCUGUAUAUAUUGAAAGGUGACUAGUCAAAGGGUGCCAUGUGUGCUACAGAAAAUUUCCUUGACUGUAGGGUUCCUGUAUGAUGUUAAUUAAGCAAGCUUUGCCCUCAUCAGAAUGCUUUACGAACAGAAAGUGGCCCUUUUUGCUGACUUCACUUAUCUUCUAGCUAGGGUCUCUUUUAUAUCUAGAAUCAGCAACAUGCAUGUCGCCACACGAGCUUGUCCCCAAUCAUGUAGUUGAUUACGUUGUUCACAUAAGUAUCUUUUCUUCUUCUUCUUCUUUUUUAUUUUAAUAAAAGGCUUAAUUAACUAAUGAAAAAUAAAAAAGGUUAAGUACAUUACGUUAGAAACGACGACAAUAUGUAUUAUAUUUGAUUUUAUUAUGAGUAGCUUUGGAAUUUCCAUUGAUUUGAAACUGCCUCGAUUGGACAGGCAGUUAAUUAGUACCAUCCAUAUAUACUAUGGUCUCAGUGAAUGGUGAAAGUGAUGCACCGCCCAAAAUAGUAAGAUGGCAACAUCAACUUUUGCACGAACCACCUCACCCUUCUUUUGAUUAUUUUAUUAUUGGGCUAGUUCGUCAAUACCAAUAUGAAUUCUUUUGUCUCUACUAAUGAUAGUUGCUUAUUCUCAGCAAGACACUUUUUUUAAAAAAAAUUAUAUGCCUAUUCUAAACUUUAAUUAAUUGUCCCCAAACCUAAACCCACAUAUAUAUGAUGAGUACACAAUUUUACAUGUUCAGAAAUGGAACAAAGUUAAGCUAUAUAUAUAUCACUCAUUGCUUCUUUGGACUGGGAUCAACUGCCAGAAUAGGGAAAAGGAGGCUAGCCACAGAAAACCUAAUAAUAAGUUGAUAACUGAUCUAUGAUGAAAUUAAGAAUUUUAGUGUAGCUAUGUAUUUCUAUCAUUAGUUAUCCUUUUUCUCCUUUCAAAAUGUUUGACCUACACUAAAGUAAUAUGGGGAUUGAACACAUUUAAAAGAAGAUGCUAUCUUCGGUUGUGCUCCCAGUAAAUAUACUUUAUUUUCGCAGUAACCUUUCAGUUUCUGUGAUGAGUAAUGUCCCCAGCUAAUGUCUUAUAUAUGUAGGUCUCCCCUUGAUUACCAUUAGGUCACCAGCGCCUAUUAUUAUAUGUUAGACAAAAAACAAAGAUGUUAGAGAAGAAUCUAAUCAACUUUUUCAUUGGAUCAAGCUAGGUUGGAAACCGAUGCACCAAAGACCAUUAAUUAGAUAUCGCUGUGUCACAGAUUCACAACACCACAGUGAAUUAAUCUUCCUCUAUAUUGGUUGUGGGCCAUAAGACAGGAACCUUUCUUUUCAUUAAUCAUAGGAAAUGACCCAUGAAAAUGAAUAGUGACCUCACCAACAAGGCCUUUAUAUAUGCCCACCCAUCCAAUUGAAAGUUCAACUCUUUUAAUUUGAAACAAAAAUGCAGAGCAAAAUAACAAAAAAUUAAUAAAAAUUGAAAUGUGAUA